rnacentral:tRNA from 1 species
GUUAUAAUAGUUUAAGUAAAACACUGGUCUUGUAAACCAAAAUUAGAUUUAUAUCUUUAUAACU